rnacentral:rRNA from 1 species
UACCAGACUCCUACGGGAGGCAGCAGUGGGGAAUAUUGCACAAUGGGGGAAACCCUGAUGCAGCGACGCCGCGUGAGCGAUGAAGUAUUUCGGUAUGUAAAGCUCUAUCAGCAGGGAAGAAAAUGACGGUACCUGACUAAGAAGCCCCGGCUAACUACGUGCCAGCAGCCGCGGUAAUACGUAGGGGGCAAGCGUUAUCCGGAUUUACUGGGUGUAAAGGGGGCGCAGACGGCGAUGCAAGCCAGGAGUGAAAGCCCGGGGCCCAACCCCGGGACUGCUCUUGGAGCUGCGUGGCUGGAGUGCAGGAGGGGCAGGCGGAAUUCCUGGUGUAGCGGUGAAAUGCGUAGAUAUUAGGAGGAACACCGGUGGCGAAGGCGGCCUGCUGGACUGUGACUGACGUUGAGGCCCGAAGGCGUGGGGAGCAAACAGGAUUAGAUACCCCCGUAA